rnacentral:rRNA from 1 species
UUUCCCAAUUAGUAAGACCCCUUGAAGACGACGAGGUAGAUAGGUUGGAGGUGGAAGUGCAGCAAUGCAUGGAGCUGACCAAUACUAAUCGGUCGAGGGCUUAUCCUAAUAU